rnacentral:rRNA from 1 species
GUGAGGAAUUUUGCGCAAUGGGGGCAACCCUGACGCAGCGACGCCGCGUGGAGGACGAAGUCUUUCGGGAUGUAAACUCCUGUCAGUGGGGACGAUAAUGACGGUACCCACAGAGGAAGCACCGGCUAACUCCGUGCCAGCAGCCGCGGUAAGACGGAGGGUGCAAGCGUUGUUCGGAAUUACUGGGCGUAAAGCGUAUGUAGGCGGCAAGUUAAGUUCAAGGUUAAAGCCCACGGCUCAACCGAGGAGAUGCAUUGAAUACUGGCUAGCUAGAGGGUGUUAGAGGAAGACGGAAUUCCCAGUGUAGCGGUGAAAUGCGUAGAUAUUGGGAGGAACAUCGGUAGCGAAAGCGGUCUUCUGGGACAUACCUGACGCUGAGGUACGAAAGCGUGGGGAGCAAACGGGAUUAGAUACCCUUGUAGUCC